CUAUAUGGCAUGGCAAUUAACCGCGCGCCGUGAUGGCGUAUAAGGGGACAUACAAAGAACUUAAGAACUUAAAAACGUAAAUACCCGACGCUGUCUCUACCUUACACUUGUGAGAUCCCAUCUUGCUUAUGCCUCACAAGUGUGGUGUCCACAGACUCACCAUGUGUAUGGAGCUCGAACGCGGCAUACAACAGACGUAAAGCGAC